AUUUGAAGCCUCACUAUGGGUAAGGCCCUGUGUAGGUUACCAUGUGGGGGUAUGACGAUGUACAAGAUCUAGCUCCAGUCUUCCAAGCUGUCACAAUCCUUUCAGACACACAGGAUCACAACAGGGCAGAACAGAAUCCUCUUCUGGUGACAAAGAAACUUGAGGCACAGAGAAGGUCUGCAGCCCUUUCUUGGGAAUUCCCUGAGGCCAUGAGCAGAGAGGGCAACGGGGUGUCUGGUGGACAAGGAACCAAGAAGCAAGCAUUUAGCUCCCCUUUCAUUUCGGAGGAGACAGCCAGAGGCACAGUGGCUUUGGGGGCCUUUCAAGACUAUUGUGUCCAGCGCUACCUUAGCUAUGCUCCAGCCCAGACAAGGACCCAUUUCUGAGAUUAAAGGAACUGUCCAUCACCUCCAAGCCUGCGGAUUGUGGAGGCUCUUCUGUGGGCAAAUGAGAGGGCAACUUGUACCUAUCAUCAUGGAAAAAACCCCUCUUCCAACCCAAACGCAUGUCCAAAAAGUAGGGCAUAAACACUGGCCAGGAACCAGCCCCACUACUACCUUGCUAUACAACCUCAGAGAACUCACCCAUUGUGUCUGGUUCCUUGUCUGCACAAGGAGAACCGCGACCUGCCCAGCAGCCUCACAGUGUGGGACUCAAGAAGGUGUGAUUGUAUAUUGAACAGUACGAGGUCUCAGAUAAAUGUAAGGAUUCGCCUGAU